AGCUGUCCUCCCACUUCAGCCUCUCAAAGCACUGAGAUCACAGAGAUGUAGUCCCGCUAUGUUGCUCAUACUGGUCUUGAACUCUUGGACUCAAGCAAUCCUCCUGCCUCCCAAAGUGCUGGAUUACAGACAUGAGGUACCACAUCCAGCCUUACCUUUCUUCAAGUAUCCUGUUAUUAUCCCUAAUAAAAACUUGUUAGACUGUU